GGGAACCAAGGGGUGGGGAAGCAGUUGGAGGAAUCUCCCCCUCCUCUCUCCAUUCCUUUCCAGCAUGCCCCAUCACUUUCACAGCGAUGGCACACAAUGACAGAGAGAGAAACAGCUGUAGAUCCGGGCAGGAGGCAGACUGUGUUGGAUAAUACAGAACGUUGGAUGAGCGAAGGUUGGAUAAGUGAGACUUUACUGUAUCUUCAUUUCACACACCCCAUAGCUGCACCCAUGUUUGAAUCCCAUCCUACUGAUGCUGUGGCACAAGCAUCCAGCAACAUGCUCAGAAGAGACGGAGACUAGACCCCAGGAAAAAGUUGCCAUUCCAUUAUUGUGGAAGCCACCAUCUGCAUAGAUUAAUGCUAGACACAUUUUGACAAAACUGAAGAGAACAGAGUCAGCAAACUGGAGUAUCUUUUCUGUUGUGUUUGUUGUCCUAUGAGUUGUGGGAGCUGUGAUAUGUUUUGUCUCUAUGGAAAGGGUGGGGCAGUCCUUAAUAAAAUCUUACCUAGAAUCAUAGGAUCAUAGAAUAAUAGAGUUGGAAGAGAUCACAUGGGCCAUCAAGUCCAACCCGUGUCAUGCAGGAAAUGCAUAAUCAAAGCACUCCUGACAGAUGGCCAUCCAGCCUCUGUUUAAAAGCCUCCCAACACUGCGAGGCAGAGAGUUCCACUGUUGAACAGCUCUUACAAUCAGGAAGUUCUUCCUAAUAUUCAGGUGAAAUCUCUUUUACCAUAAUUUGCAUCCAUUGCUCCAAGUCCUAGUGACAAUGCAAACAGAGACUUCUCCGUUUUGCCUAUAUCUGAUUAGGAAACUGUCAGAAGGCAGCCCAGGCAAAGGGAGGAAAUGAUAUUUUGCAUAUUUUCCUUUAGGAAACCAGUGUGUGCUGGCACAAAAGCUAAAACUUCAGGUUCAGCAACACCAGUGCUUAAUUUGCAAAAUAAUGCAGUUGAGUUUAUUCAUAGUGUCAUGUGUAGUAGAUUUUGUGUUCCAGGCUUCUGGUUGAUCUUUGAAGGAAAAACUAAGAAGAAAAAUAUGUUCAACCUUUUUUCUGCCAUUCUUUUUCCAAUUGAGCCCCUUUUUUGUACUCCUCCACCAUAGAUUUCCAGACACACACAAACAAGAAGAGGGAAUAGCACCAGAGUAAAGGGAGAUAUUAGAAGGCUUCAGACAAAGAUGGCAGAAGAAUUACCAGGACAAUG